ACGUCUUGCGACUUGCAGAAUCCAGUGAAUCAUCAAAACUUUGAACGCAUCUUGCGCUUCCGGGAAAUGCCUGGAAGCAUGCUUGUCGGAGUGUCUGUAG
rnacentral:rRNA from 1 species